GCACUACUGAGGAGUCCCAUAAUAGGACGAAACGGCAGUUUAGUGU
rnacentral:hammerhead_ribozyme from 1 species